rnacentral:rRNA from 2 species
ACCACUCUAAGCGGUGGAUCACUCGGCUCGUGUGU